UACGGGAGGCACCAGUGGGGAAUCUUAGACAAUGGGGGCAAGCCUGAUCUACCCAUGCCGCGUGAGUGAUGAAGCCCUUAGGGUCGUAAAGCUCUUUCGCCGGGGAAGAUAAUGCCUGUACCCGGUAAAGAAACCCCGGCUAACUCCGUGCCACCAGCCGCGGUAAUACGGAGGGGGUUAGCGUUGUUCGGAAUUACUGGGCGUAAAGCGCGCGUAGGCGGACUGGAAAGUUGGGGGUGAAAUCCCGGGGCUCAACCUCGGAACUGCCUUCAAAACUCCCAGUCUUGAGUUCGAGAGAGGUGAGUGGAAUUCCGAGUGUAGAGGUGAAAUUCGUAGAUAUUCGGAGGAACACCAGUGGGGAAGGCGGCUCCCUGGCUCGAUACUGACGCUGAGGUGCGAAAGUGUGGGGAGCAAACAGGAUUAGAUACCCUGGUAGUCCACACCGUAAACGAUGAAUGCCAGUCGUCGGCAAGCAUGCUUGUCGGUGACGCACCUAACGCAU
rnacentral:rRNA from 1 species